UACGUAGGGUGCAAGCGUUGUCCGGAAUUAUUGGGCGUAAAGAGCUCGUAGGCGGUUUGUUGCGUCUGCUGUGAAAACUCGGGGCUUAACUCCGGGCCUGCAGUGGGUACGGGCAGACUAGAGUGCGGUAGGGGAGACUGGAAUUCCUGGUGUAGCGGUGAAAUGCGCAGAUAUCAGGAGGAACACCGGUGGCGAAGGCGGGUCUCUGGGCCGUAACUGACGCUGAGGAGCGAAAGCGUGGGGAGCGAACAGG
rnacentral:rRNA from 1 species